rnacentral:lncRNA from 10 species
AAUGGCAUAAAUAGAAUUAAUGAAAUGAUACAUAUAAACCAUAAUUUGAAUGUUUUCACUUAAUCAGAAUUACACAAUUAAAAUAUAAAUAUUUUUAUCUAAUGUCAUACACUUCACUGCCUUUACUGAAAUAAAAAUAGUGCUUGAAGCAGAAUAACAGACUGUCUUACAUCUGUGAAUUUUCAAGUUUUGACCAAUAUCUGUCUGGCUUGAGGCUGUUGGACAUCUGACAAACACAGGGAAGAGAAGAGAUCCAUGAGAAGAUGGAGACAGAAACUGGAGUUAUGCAGCCACAAUCUAAGGAAGACCUGGAACCACCAGAAACUGCAAGAGUCAAGGAAGGGUUCUCCCAUAGAGCCUCUGGAAAGAACCUGGCCUUGGCCAACCUUGAUUCCAGACUUCUGGCCUUCAGAAUGACUUUCAACUAUUUCGGGGGCACUGGCAGAAGAAAUGAAUACUUACUGGCAUGGGUCCUGAACAUUAUGGAGAUUUCACUGAGACCCUUCAUCAGUCUGGCCUGUUGGGCUUCCCUUAUGUCACUCCGAAUGUCCACAUCUCCUUAGCCCUAGCCAUCAUUAUGGUCCACACCAAAGCUCUAUCUGUUUGAUAUAAAUGUUAAUACUUGAUAAUGAUGUUAUAAUUUGAUAAUGAUAUUAUCAAAUUAAUAUUAAGUUAUUUAGGCAAUAUAAAUGUCCAGAGAGGGAAUGAACUUCUUAAAAAUGUCUCAGGUAAUCUUCUAAAAAAUCUAGCUAGUUCCUAAUUCACAUGUGAAACAUUCUAGCCCAUAAUUUUCCAGUUACCCAAUAUUAAAUCUCAAUAUUAAAUUUCUAUCAGAUCAAUAAUUUCAAAGCAAACGAUUAAAUUUUACAUGAUAAAACAUGAAUCCAAACCUGUUUUUCCAAACAAGUUAGUGAAUAACUGUCCAAAUUCAAAUGGCUGGAUUAUCAAUUCAUUGCUCUUAGCCAAUUUGUCUCUCUUUUGAAAUCCAGGCCUUUCUUGGCCCCUAGGCAAAGAUGGAGCAGCUGUUGAUGCAAGGUGUUGUCCAGCUGGGAGAAAAUUGAAACUGUUACAGUUUCUGUACUGUCCAUGAAGUUUUUUACAUCACAAGAAUUAGAUAGUCAUCUGGAAGAAACUGCAGCAGUGAAUUCUAAUUUUAAAGAAAUAUAAAUAUCUUCUGUAAUUUUUCAUUUUUCAACAAUAGGAUUGUGUACACGUAGCCUUAAAAUUUAAGAAUAUUAAUAAUUUUUAUAUUUUGAUUUGUUGUGAAAGGAUACUAAUUUAUAACAAUUUUAAGUAAAUCCUAUUGGUAUUUUAUAAAAUACCAUUUUAAAGAGAUGACGUUUGAUUUUCUAUCAAAAAUUUAACUAUGUUUAGAAAGUAGCAACCCUAAUGAAGCACAGUCAUAGUUAUGAAAAAUGAAGCACUUAGAACUUUUACUUAGAGUUUAGACAGAUUUUU